AUGAGCUUCACGCCGAACUCAGCUCUGGUCCCAGAAAGGGACAAACUCCCGCUCAAAAAGAGGGACCAAAGGCCGAGCUCACCGUCGCAGCAGCAGCGGCAGCAGCCGCAGCAGUGUGAUGAUGCGACAUUCAAGGUGCCCUACCCGUACAAGGGCCACGGUGAGUUUAAGACGAAGCACACGGGCCCGUUCCAGCCCGUACCGAGGCGGGUUCCCGCACUGUACCAGCCCUGGAUGCAGACUCACUCAUCCGCCAGGCCCAAGCCUCAUGAGCCCUCUGCAUUCAGAGAUCAUCGCGGCUGGGCAGAGUGGAGACAGUUCAACCCCCCGCAGCCCGGGUGGGCCUUUCCUCCCCACUACCAGCACCACGGCCACCUGUCUGGUACGUCUGCGCUCCACCUCGGCCAUCCACACCUCCCCUCCAGAUUCGGCCCCGUCCCACUCGUCGCUGAGGGUUUGCAAAGGGUGCUCGGAGGGUACAGCUGGGAGCAGCUCAAGACAUUGAGGUGCAAGAGUUUGGAAAGUGAGAGGCAGAGCAAUGGAAGGAACCGAGCGCCGUAUGUGAGGAGAAGAGACAGAAGAGCCGAGGCUUCUCCCAGGGAUGGAAAAGGUAGUCCUCCGUCACUGAGCACAUGUCUACCUCACGCCCCACACGAGGACCUCACGCUGCAAUAUGACGACUCGCGCAAAUCAGCAAAGGUUUUCACUCCCGCUUCUGGAUAUUCCUUGAUAAGGGUUUCCCCCGACGAUCGCUCAGGCAGCACAUGCACCUCCGCGAAGGAGGACGCCUUGAGAUCCUCCGCUCCCCUGUCUCCUGAGCAGGCAUCUACCUCCUCUCCCUCUCCGAACAAUUUCCCCUGGCUGCUCCCUCACUUUGUGGCGGGCUCUCUGAUCGAGCUCGGAGACGGGCGGCUGAGGAAGGUGGAGCACCUGCGGACGGAGGACUUCCUGCUGGGAUCACGGGCCUGUCCAGACCUGCGCCUGAGCUGCUGCACGGUGCAGAGCAUCACCCCUUCGGCAUCCUCCUCCUCCAUCUCGCGCCUCCUCAUCCUGCUCCACGACCAGCAGUCCCAGGUGAAGGAAACUCCCUCGGUAGUUUUCACCGUUCUUGACAGGCGGUUAACAUGCAUCAAAUGUUUGCACCAUUUGCGUCAUCGGGGAGAUGCGGUGCAAUCUUUGAAACUUGACAUUUACUGA
ensembl:lncRNA